CGGUGCUGCUCAACAGGUAAACUACAGGACACAGCUCAGGUGUGUGUCAGGUGCUGCUCAACAGGUAAACUACAGGACACAGCUCAGGUGUGUGUCAGGUGCUGCUCAACAGGUAAACUACAGGACACAGCUCAGGUGUGUGUCAGGUGCUGCUCAACAGGUAAACUACAGGACACAGCUCAGGUGUGUGUCAGGUGCUGCUCAACAGGUAACCUACAGGACACAGCUCAGGUGUGUGUCUUCAGUGAGCACGGUAUCAGAUGAUCUCUUUAACACCUGGUGGGUCAUGUGAUCAAAACUGUGAGUUACAGUGUAAAUACUCCUGUUCGAGUAUCUGAGGGACAAAAAAUGACCAAAGUAUAAUAAAUGAAGAAAUGUUUGGAGAAAUGCAGUAAUGUAUAAAAAAUUAAUAAUGCAUCAAUAAAUAUAUAAAUGCUGAAAACAAUACAUCAAUGAAUAAAUAAUGAAUACACUCUAUUAAUGAAAAAGAGUAUUUAUAUAUUUUUACAUGUAUUUAUUCAUUUAUUAGCGUAUUUCUACAGUUAUAUAUGUACCAUACGCUGGAUGUUUUGGCGCUGUAGGAGGACAGGGUGAAUGCAGCAGCAGCGUGGUGCGUUGACCGUUUAUGGUUGAAUGUGGGCGUGUAGAGGGAAAAAAAUGAAGAUAAACAAAUUACUCACUUGAUCUUACUCUGUAGAGCAGCUUAUAAACCUGUUUCACAUCCUGCACACACACAAGCAUUAUUCUGUCUUUCUUGGACAGAUGUUGUAGUUCCUCGUUGUUUUUGUGGCGUCCUGCUCCACAAACUAUUUAGACACUGAAUGCAUCGUUGUCAAAACGUGCAGCGACACCAGGUCAGUAAGAGGGACCAGGUCUUUGAUUGGGAUGAGCUUUUAUUUGAAGUUUUACGGUACUCCUCUACAAGUGAAAGUUGCUCAGUCAGAUUAUUACUCGAGUUAAAGUACUGGAGGACAUCCAUCCAUUAUCUGCUGCAGUGGUUAGAUCUGUUCCUCUCUGUGAGGAGGUUCCUGGUUUGAAUCCCCGUCUGUCAGGAGUCUCCCUGUGAGGAGGUUCCUGGUCUGAAUC